rnacentral:misc_RNA from 1 species
CUGCCCUCAAGCACGGCUUGUGUGUUGGGUCGCCGUCCCCCCGGGGACGGGCCCGAAAGGCAGCGGCGGCACCGCGUCCGGUCCUCGAGCGUAUGGGGCUUCGUCACCCGCUCUGUAGGCCCGGCCGGCGCUGGCCGACAACCCAUCAAUCUUUUUUCCA